CUUGCGACCGUUACAACAGCCAGUUUAUUCAAAGCGGAGCGAUUCGUGGAUUCGUUGUCAUCGUGUCGUCGUCGUUUUGUCGUUGAUUUCCGUUUGUGCUUGCAGAUAAAGCCAGGUCUUGACUGGAUUCUCAUUCUCGACUAGGCCUAAAAUCGAAAUCGAAAGAAACCGAAGUCGGCUAAUGGAAAAUAAACAAACAAACAAAGCCCGAAUUUUGUUUGCCGCGCAUAAAAAAAUCUAAAACCUUGCCAGCAAAUCUUGGUGUUAUAAAAAUGAGUAUUAC